AUCAUAUUGGAAGAAACAUGGGAUAUUAAUACAUUGGCUGCAUGUACAGAGGGAAGAUGAUGUGAAGACACGGAGAGAAGAUGGCCAUCUACAUGCUAAGGAGAGAGGCCUGGCCUGGAACAGAUCCUCCCUCAUGAUCAUCAGAAAGAACCAAUCUUGAUGACACCUUGAUCUCAGAUUUUGAGCCUCAAGAACCAUCCAGGAGGUACAUGUACAGCUUUGUUACCUGGGUACAUUGUGUGAUGCUGAAGUUUGAGUAUGAAUGAUCCUGUCACUCAGCUCCCACGUGAAUCAUUCAAGAGUUAAACAAGAGAAAUGGUUCCUGUCAGUGCAGGUGAUGAAAGAGAUCAUUACAACAUAACUGAAGGUCAAGACAAGGAUAAAUACCAGCAAAAUCAUGUAAGAAUGAUGCUAUCAGGGCUUAUGCUUGGCCUACUGAUCCCAGAGGAGAGAAUCAUAGAGAAUUGUGGAAUU
ensembl:lncRNA LINC01307 long intergenic non-protein coding RNA 1307